AUGCUGAACAAACAACAGUCAAAGAAAGAGGGAGGAACCAUUGGCGCUCCAGGUGUCGCACCAAACACACGGGGCACUUCGCUGUCGAUCCGUCUCGAUCUGGAUCAACGUCGCUCGAUGACAUCACAUCGUUUCCUCGAUCUACAAACCUAUAGACGAUCAGAUCGCUUUGAUUUGCGAUUUCAGUCAUUUGGAAACUGCGGAUGCCACUCAGUUUGUCAUCAUCUCGGAGAGUCACCUUGCGCUUGUGCCGUUGCCCCACAACUUCAUUACGUCAUUUUUAUGUACCGAGCUGUAAUCAGCAGUUGAGGGUACCAAGCAGGAUCUACUCCAAAAUGGGUCCGGGAGGGACUUCCCUUUGUCUUCCCCAACCAGACAUGCUUCAGACAGGCCUCUAGCAUAAGAUGGACCCCUGCAUCCAACAAUGGCCGCGUUGGACUCCCUGCAGCUCAGCGGAGGUAUAGACAUGAGCUAUUGUGACAGUUCUGGUGUGAGAGGCACAAUGCAAUUGUAGUUUGAGGGGAUUUGAGAUCCACCAAAUGGUUAGUAAGAUAGGAAGACCGUAAAGACAAUAAUGAUGGAUAACAAGUGAGUUUCAUCAUUGAUAAUUGUGAUUUUGAAUAAAAACAAAAUACCAUUUGCACAUUGUGUGGAAAUUCAAAAUGGAUGUUAAUUCAUACCAAAAUUUUUUGUUACAUUUUGCUUGUUUUAGGACAGAUUUUGCAUUAACAAUCUCACUAUUUGCAGUCUUAAGGAAAAACAAAUGAUCCAUCUGAUGUCUGUCACAUCACAAUGAGAACAAAAGAUAAUUAAGCUCCUCUAUCUUCUCUUGUCAGCAUUGAUGCCUGUUAGAGGUUUGGUUACUGCCUCUGUGCAUUUGGACAAAAUGCACAGUUUGGUUUAGGAUUUGAGUGCACACAUGCAUUCUGACACACACUCACACACACACACACACACACACACCGCUCAAUUUGAAAAAUGCACUGAUUCUGCAUUGAUGGAGCUACAAGAUGAGAUGAACUGUCUGGGGAUAAGUAGGUCAGCAGAGCUGAGGUAAGCCCUCUGAGAACAGCCAUGUUUCAAUAAUAACCCCAUUGCUGACGUGUGUGUAUAUAUAUGUAUGUGUGUUCUCAUAGUGUGUGUCCUUACACAUCUCCCAAACCUCUUGGUAUCAUAGUUACGGCGAUUUAAUGCUAAGCUCAUUGGUUUGCCAAACAGCAAAACACUAUUCAUUACCAGCUCAGCAUGUUCAGUUCUGUUGUUAUGCAGUUAAGCACCUCAUCCAUUCCAUUGUCAUAGAGGCUUCAUUGUUUACAAGCUACCCAACAUACAAAAUCAAAUAAUCAAAUGGAAAUAAACUAGAUAAGUAGGCAAACACUGGAUAUAAGUCGAGAUAAAUGGAUGAUGGGAAAACUAAACGGGCCUCUAGGAAAACUUCCAAUUUCCUAAACAUCUCCUCUUUAAAUUUCUUACCUUGCAUUUUAUAGCACAGCAAGUUAACUUACCGUAAAAGAUGAACUGUGGAGAGGCGAGUGCAUUUUGUGCGUUAGAAUGUGUGUUUGUGUGAGGGGGAUGCAGGGCCAGUGGUGAAAUGUAGUUGGUAUAUAAUGGAUUAUUGAUUGUUGGGAGAGAGAGAGGACCGGCCCUCAGGGUUCAUCCCAGCUGGCCCAUCUCUUGCCUAACACUGAAUAGUCUCUUUACGCCUGAGCAGACACAUGCACACACACAUGUACACACAAUGAAUUUAGGCCUGUGAGCAGACAGCCACUGCUCAUACUGACCAUGAGAGGGGACUAACUGAGACUUACUGUUGUCCUUCAGGCAAAGAUUCACACAAAUGGGCUCAAAUAUAAGGUGGAUGGGGGCAAGUUGUCACAUAUACCUUAAAGUAAAAAGAAAUGAAAAUACUGAACAUUUCCAGCUCUUUGAACACAUGUUGGCCUUUAAAUUAAACUGCCUAUUAUAGGUAUUUUAGCUAAAUGUAAACAGUAAUUGACUUUAAAUUUAAAGAGUAAUCAAUAAUUAUGAAAAUCAAAACAUUUUUGGUCUGGAAAUAUUUGUAUUAUAAUAAACUCUAUAUUCAAAAUAUAUUGUAAUAGUAUUUACACAUAUUUGUACAACUGGACCUUUGGCUUAAAACCCUAAUAUUACUGAGAUAUUAGCUCUGGUUACAGUACUCAGACUUAGUCUGUACUGUAGUGUAGAAUGCAUUUUAUUUUAAACAAAUUAACUUAUUAAAUUAUACAAACUAGAUUAACAGAUAUGGCAUCACACAGUUGUAUGUAUUACAAUAAGCAUUCAGUCAGCAUAACCAUUUUUGAAGAGUGCAAAAAAGAUUUGCCAUGUUUACAUUUGAUAAAAAAACAAAACAGAAUGGCAGGAAAUCCUGAUUCUGGACUGGGGUGUGUAUGUUUUUGUGGAUUUACAACAAUUAAUAUCCUUCUUGUUAGAAUAUUGAGCAGUGUAUUUACUGUAUCUUUGUUUAAGUUCUUGUUAGAAUAAUCAGAAAGCAUGUUGGAUAAGGUAGUGUGUUUAUGUAAUACUUAAAGAUGUGCCCUUUCCUCUGACUCUUAAAUGAGGACAUCAGCAGUCUCUCUCUCAUUGUCCCUCUCCCACUCACUUGUUAAUGGUGCAGAGCACAAAACCCAAUGUACUGUGUCCUCUGUAUUCAGCUAUGAAGUAUGGAUCCUGCCUUAAACGAAUAGUUUUGACUGAACAAAAGACUGUCAGAGGACAUUAUAUAUAAGGACUCUGUUAGCUGGGGGUUGUCUCAAACACUGGGCCUUAGUUCUUUCCAUUUAACAGUUUUGUAUCUCUAAAUCUUUUGUACAUAGGACUGGAUUCAUUAUAAGAAUCAUUAAGUCAUAGUGCCUUCCAUUUACUGACAGCUUGUUUAUUGCCAUGGACUAAUGGAUUAAUGAAUAACCUUUAUUUGCUCAUUUGCAAGUCUUGUUCUCAAUUUUGCUUCUGUU
rnacentral:lncRNA from 12 species